rnacentral:rRNA from 2 species
UUAAGUGACGAUAGCCUAGGAGAUACACCUGUACCCAUGCCGAACACAGAAGUUAAGCCCUAGAACGCCGGAAGUAGUUGGGGGUUG